UGUCUUUUGAGUACCUUCGUUUCCUCGGCGGGUCCGCCCGCCGAUUGGACAAUUUAAACCAUUUGCAGUUGCAAUCAGCGUCUGAAAAAACUUAAUAGUUACAACUUUCAACAACGGAUCUCUUGGUUCUGGCAUCGAUGAAGAACGCAGCGAAAUGCGAUAAGUAGUGUGAAUUGCAGAAUUCAGUGAAUCAUCGAAUCUUUGAACGCACAUUGCGCCCCUUGGUAUUCCAUGGGGCAUGCCUGUUCGAGCGUCAUUUGUACCUUCAAGCUCUGCUUGGUGUUGGGUGUUUGUCUCGCCUCUGCGCGCAGACUCGCCUCAAAACAAUUGGCAGCCGGCGUAUUGAUUUCGGAGCGCAGUACAUCUCGCGCUUUGCACUCAUAACGACGACGUCCAAAAGUACAUUUU
rnacentral:rRNA from 1 species